GGAGAGAUGGCUCAGUGGUUAAGAGCACUGACUGCUCUUCCAGAGGUCCUGAGUUCAAUUCCCAGCACCA
rnacentral:tRNA from 1 species